GCCGGGAUGGCGGAAUUGGCAGACGCAAGGGACUUAAAAUCCUUUGAGGGUUCCCCUCGUGCGGGUUCGACUCCCGCUCCCGGCA
rnacentral:tRNA from 1 species